rnacentral:lncRNA from 1 species
AACCAGCAAAAGUGAACCACUCCCCAGCAGUGGAAACCGGGGCUUCCUAGAAGAAACGAUGCACUCCCCACCUCCCUCUGUUUGUGCUGCAGUGAAAACUGACACGAGAGAUUCAUUGGAACAUGUGCCCUCGUUCCACUCUCAUCAGCCCACCGCAGGGACAGGAGCUGUUCAUCUUUUUGGCUGUGCUCGCAGCCUCCAGAACACUUAUGAGGGGCACCUUGUGGGCGCCGUGGUCGGAUGAGGCCCCUGGGGCUCUUCCAGAGGCUGGCACUCUCUGCAGUUGUCGCUCACAUACCUGCUCAGGCCAGGCCAGGCCAGAGUGGACAAUGUCUUCCCAGCAGGCCAGACCAGUCUCCCAGGAGGCUGAGGCUGCUGUAUCACUCACCAAACCCUCUCAUCUGCCGGCCUGACCCUGUGCUAUGCUGGAAAUAGCACUCGAGCCAGACGCCCUCCCUGACUUGGACAAGGGCAGUGCCCUGGAAGGAGAGGGCACAGAAGCAGCUGUUUACAGAACCUCCGAGGGCUGCAAUGGGGCAAUGGGGUGUGCAGGAGAGUGACCAGGAGCCCGGGGCAGCUGGUGACCCACCCCUCCAGGCAUUCGUGAGGUGUCAGAAGAGGGGGCCCCUUGAACGGGGCCUGCAGAGAUGGCUAAGAGUCCAUCAGGCAGAUGAAAUGAUUUGCUUUCUUCACACUUACCAAGCUUAGAAAUGACCUCCUUCAUGCAUGUGAAUGACUUUAUUCAUGUAUAUGACUCACCUUCCUCAUGCAUGUGAUGAUCUUAUUGUAUGUGACUCACUUUCAUGCACGUGAUGACCUUAUCCAUGUAUGUGACUCACCUUCAUGCAUGUGAUGACCUUAUUCAUGUAGGUGAUUCACCUUCUUCAUGCAUGUGAUGACCCUAUCCAUGUAUGUGAUUCACCUUCUUCAUGCAUGUGAUGACCUUAUUCACGUAUGUGAUUUGCCUUCUUCAUGCAUGUGAUUACCUUAUACAUGUAUAUGACUCACCUUCAUGUAUGUGAUGACCUUAUUCACAUGUGACUCGCCUUCUUCAUGCAUGUGAUGACCUUAUUCACAUGUGACUCGCCUUCAUGCAUGUGACGACCUUAUCCAUGUAUGUGACUCACCUUCUUCAUGCAUGUGAUGACCUUAUCCAUGUAUGCGACUCACCUUCUUCAUGCAUGUGAUGACUUUAUCUAUGAAUGUGACUCAUUGUUUGUCUUCCCAUCCCCCUAAAACAUAAACUCAAUGAGAGC